rnacentral:tRNA from 1 species
GCAUUAGUAGCUUAGCAAUAAAGCAUCGGUCUUGUAAGCCGGAGAUUGAGGGUUAAAACCCCUCCUACUGCU